GGUGAGUAACACGUGAGUAACCUGCCCCUUUCUCUGGGAUAAGCGCUGGAAACGGCGUCUAAUACUGGAUAUUCAGGCCUUGCCGCAUGGUGGGGUUUGGAAAGAUUUUUUGGUGAGGGAUGGGCUCGCGGCCUAUCAGUUUGUUGGUGGGGUGAUGGCCUACCAAGACGACGACGGGUAGCCGGCCUGAGAGGGUGACCGGCCACACUGGGACUGAGACACGGCCCAGACUCCUACGGGAGGCAGCAGUGGGGAAUAUUGCACAAUGGGCGAAAGCCUGAUGCAGCGACGCCGCGUGAGGGAUGACUGCCUUCGGGUUGUAAACCUCUUUCAGUAGGGAAGAAGCCGCUUGCGGUGACGGUACCUGCAGAAGAAGCGCCGGCUAACUACGUGCCAGCAGCCGCGGUAAUACGUAGGGCGCAAGCGUUGUCCGGAAUUAUUGGGCGUAAAGAGCUCGUAGGCGGUUUGUCGCGUCUGCUGUGAAAACGCGAGGCUCAACCUCGCGCCUGCAGUGGGUACGGGCAGACUAGAGUGUGGUAGGGGAGACUGGAAUUCCUGGUGUAGCGGUGGAAUGCGCAGAUAUCAGGAGGAACACCGAUGGCGAAGGCAGGUCUCUGGGCCACUACUGACGCUGAGGAGCGAAAGCAUGGGGAGCGAACAGGAUUAGAUACCCUGGUAGUCCAUGCCGUAAACGUUGGGCACUAGGUGUGGGACCCAUUCCACGGGUUCCGUGCCGCAGCUAACGCAUUA
rnacentral:rRNA from 1 species